ACAUGCAGUCGACAAUCUACCGAGAAGUGGGGGAUAGCUCGCCGAAAGGCGAAUUAAUACCGCAUAUGAUCAGAGGCGACAUCGCUUCGAAAUCAAAGCCGGGGCAACCUGGCGCUUCUUGAGGAGCCCGCGGCCUAUCAGCUUGUUGGUGAGGUAACGGCUCACCAAGGCAUUGACGGGUAGCUGGUCUGAGAGGACGACCAGUCACACUGGAACUGAGACACGGUCCAGACACCUACGGGUGGCAGCAGUCGAGAAUUUUUCUCAAUGGGGGAAACCCUGAAGGAGCGACGCCGCGUGGAGGAUGAAGGUCUUCGGGUUGUAAACUCCUGUCAUUUGGGAACAAGGCUGCGCAGUUAACUGCCGCGCAGUUGAUAGUACCAGAAGAGGAAGGGACGGCUAACUCUGUGCCAGCAGCCGCGGUAAUACAGAGGUCUCAAGCGUUGUUCGGAUUCAUUGGGCGUAAAGGGUGCGUAGGCGGCGCGGUAAGUCGGGUGUGAAAUUUCGAGGCUUAACUUCGAAACUGCAUUCGAUACUGCCGUGCUUGAGGACUGGAGAGGAGACUGGAAUUUACGGUGUAGCGGUGAAAUGCGUAGAUAUCGUAAGGAAGACCAGUGGCGAAGGCGGGUCUCUGGACAGUUCCUGACGCUGAGGCACGAAGGCCAGGGGAGCAAACGGGAUUAGAUACCCCGGUAGUCCUGGCAGUAAACGGUGCACGUUUGGUGUGGGAGGAUUCGACCCCUUCUGCGCCGGAGCUAACGCGUUAAACGUGCCGCCUGGGGAGUACGGUCGC
rnacentral:rRNA from 1 species